CCAGCUCCAAUAGCGUAUAUUAAAGUUGUUGCAGUUAAAAAGCUCGUAGUUGAAUUUUGGGCCUGGCUGGGUGGUCUUGCCGCAAGGUAAGCACUGCUCCGGUUGGGUCUUUCUUUCUGGGGAAUCGGUGUGCUCUUAAUUGGGUGCGCCGGGGAUCCAGAACUUUUACUUUGAAAAAAUUAGAGUGUUUAAAGCAGGCUUACGCUUGAAUACAUUAGCAUGGAAUAAUAGAAUAGGACUUUGGUUCUAUUUUGUUGGUUUCUAGGACCGAAGUAAUGAUUAAUAGGGAUAGUUGGGGGCAUUAGUAUUUAAUUGUCAGAGGUGAAAUUCUUGGAUUUAUGAAAGACUAACUUCUGCGAAAGCAUUUGCCAAGGAUGUUUUCA
rnacentral:rRNA from 1 species